UUCGAAACACCACUGGUCAGAGGAAAGGGGUCAAAAUAGGUUUCAUAACGUACACUAAUAGUCUGAUAUUUGGCCAUGUACUUAAAUUUUUUGAUCCUAUUGGAUAAUCUGUUGUCAUUCGGGUAAUUCUUGUGUUCAAUUUUGGGAAAUUGGGGUCAUACAAUAUGUUUAGGGCUUCUAAAACUAAUUUACUAGGUAGGGGAUCAAGUCUAAUAAGUCCUUUUUUUUGUGAAGUUAG
rnacentral:lncRNA from 1 species